rnacentral:rRNA from 1 species
GUGACCUCAAAUCAGGUAGGACUACCCGCUGAACUUAAGCAUAUCAAUAAGCGGAGGAAAAGAAACUAACAAGGAUUCCCCUAGUAACUGCGAGUGAAGCGGGAAAAGCUCAAAUUUAAAAUCUGGCAGUCUUUGGCUGUCCGAGUUGUAAUCUAGAGAAGUGCUAUCCGCGCUGGACCGUGUACAAGUCUCCUGGAAUGGAGCGUCAUAGAGGGUGAGAAUCCCGUCUUUGACACGGACUACCAGGGCUUUGUGAUGUGCUCUCAAAGAGUCGAGUUGUUUGGGAAUGCAGCUCAAAAUGGGUGGUAAAUUCCAUCUAAAGCUAAAUAUUGGCGAGAGACCGAUAGCGAACAAGUACCGUGAGGGAAAGAUGAAAAGAACUUUGGAAAGAGAGUUAAACAGUACGUGAAAUUGCUGAAAGGGAAACGCUUGAAGUCAGUCGCGUUGUCCAGGGAUCAACCUUGCUUUUGCUUGGUGCACUUCCUGGUUGACGGGUCAGCAUCAAUUUUGACUGUUGGAAAAAGAUCAAGGGAAUGUGGCAUCU